rnacentral:rRNA from 1 species
UCUGGUGAUUAUAGAGAAGAGGAAAUACCCAGCUCCAUUUCGAACCUGGAAGUCAAGCUCUUCAUCGCUGAUAAUACUGCAGGGUCCCCUUGACGGAAACGUAGGCCGUUGCCAGAU